UACAGAGGUCCCAAGCGUUGUUCGGAUUCACUGGGCGUAAAGGGUGCGUAGGCGGCCAGGUAAGUCUGCUGUGAAAUCCCGCAGCUCAACUGCGGAACUGCAUUGGAAACUAUCUGGCUAGAGGAAUGGAGGGGAGACUGGAAUUCUCGGUGUAGCAGUGAAAUGCGCAGAUAUCAGGAGGAACACCGGUGGCGAAGGCGGGUCUCUGGGCCGUAACUGACGCUGAGGAGCGAAAGCAUGGGGAGCGAACAGG
rnacentral:rRNA from 1 species